rnacentral:rRNA from 1 species
AAUAGAUACCCGGGUAGUCCACGCCGUAAACGAUGAAUGCUAGGUGUCAGGGGUUUCGAGACCCUUGGUGCCGAAGUUAACACAUUAAGCAUUCCGCCUGGGGAGUACGGCCGCAAGGCUGAAACUCAAAGGAAUUGACGGGGACCCGCACAAGCAGUGGAGCAUGUGGUUUAAUUCGAAGCAACGCGAAGAACCUUACCAGGUCUUGACAUCCCUCUGAAUACGCCAGAGAUGGUGUAGGCCCUUCGGGGACAGAGGAGACAGGUGGUGCAUGGUUGUCGUCAGCUCGUGUCGUGAGAUGUUGGGUUAAGUCCCGCAACGAGCGCAACCCUUAGGUCUAGUUGCCCAGCACUUCGGGUGGGCACUCUAGGAGCGACUGCCGGUGACAAACCGGAGGAAGGCGGGGAUGGACGUCAAAUCAUCAUGCCCCUUAUGACCUGGGCUACACACGUGCUACAAUGGCCGGUACAAAGGGCAGCGAAGCCGCGAGGCGGAGCCAAUCCCAAAAAGCCGGUCUCAGUUCGGAUUGCAGG